ACGCCCCUCUCCGAGGAGGAGGUCUCUUCUGCUGAAAGCAACACCUGCUUUGUCACUGCUCUGGAGCAGCCAGGCAGAGAAAGGCUGUUGGGUCUGGCCAUAAAACUCGAAAAGACCACGUGAUUAGGACACUGGAGCAGUCCUCAAGCACUAAAAAUCAGUCCAAAAUGACGGUCCUGGGGCCAGGGUAGCAUCAUUUGGAAGAAGGGCCCUCUGCAGCGCAGGUCUGGACUCAUCUUUUUUCGCUAAGAAGCUUUCCUAUGGCCAGUCUGAUAAGCAGAGCACAAUAAGAAAUAGGAGUCCACUGAUCCCGUAAAACUCAGAUGACUGCUGGCUUAUUGGGAUUGCACGUCCCAGGCUGCUGUAAAGGAAAUUGCCUUCUUGAUCUAGGACAUGUGAGCAUGAGCAGAUAAAGGAAUUGCCUAGCAAACUUCCAUCCAAAUUCCUACCUAGAGCCCUGGGACCGCAGAGAGAGAUGGUGUACAAAGCGUCUACCUUGUGUGUGACAGGCUACAGCACAGUUUGCAAUAUCUCCAGGUUAAAAUGGUCUUAUGUUACAAUAAUGCUGCAUGCCUCCAUUUCCCUAACUGGCUUUUACGUGGGGGAAGGAUGAGUUAAUGGUGUUUUGAAGUAGA